GUGACUUUGGGGGGAGAGAUAUGAAGAGAUACAAUGAUUGAGGUGUUUUUUCUUUCUUUCUUUUUUUUUUUUAAAGGAGUCCAUGUUUGAUUCUCCCCUUUGCCCAGCCUUUGCAGGGAUUAAUAUUAUUGUUGUAUAUUUUACCUUCACUUCUUCUCCGUUACCUUGCCCGUCCCUUCCCCAGUUGCUUGAAUAUAAAAAUCAUCUCACUUAGGAAAGUAAUUUAGGGGUAAAUGGAACAGAUUUUUAGAAUAAAGGGAAAAUAAUCGAGUCUGAAGAUUGUGAAAUGACUUUCUCUUUUCUCCUAUUUCAGUGUAUUUCCCUUCUUCCAUGAUCUCCAACACUGAUAAAGUGGAAGAAACUGAGGUACCCUGACAGAGAAAAGUAACUGGAACUGAGAAAGAAAAAAAAAGAGAUUAUUCAGAUUUCAAACUAUCUGCUUUUUCUACAACUAAAUCUCUGUAUGCUCCUGCUGGUCCAUCAUAAAGUGACUGUUCUUCCAA